rnacentral:rRNA from 1 species
UACGUAGGGUGCAAGCGUUGUCCGGAAUUAUUGGGCGUAAAGAGCUCGUAGGCGGUUUGUCGCGUCUGCUGUGAAAACUCGGGGCUUAACUCCGGCCUGCAGUGGGUACGGGCAGACUAGAGUGCGGUAGGGGAGACUGGAAUUCCUGGUGUAGCGGUGAAAUGCGCAGAUAUCAGGAGGAACACCGGUGGCGAAGGCGGGUCUCUGGGCAGUAACUGACGCUGAGGAGCGAAAGCGUGGGGGAGCGAACAGG